GAUGAAGAACGCAGCGAAAUGCGAUACGUAAUGUGAAUUGCAGAAUUCAGUGAAUCAUCGAAUCUUUGAACGCAUAUUGCGCUCUCUGGUAUUCCGGAGAGCAUGCUUGUUUGAGUAUCAGUAAACACCUCAACUCCCAUAUCUUUUUUGAAAUGGGAGUUGGACUUGAGUGAUCCCAACGCUUUUCCUCACCGAAAAGUGGCGGGUUACUUGAAAUGCAGGUGCAGCUGGACUUUUCUCUGAGCUAUAAGCAUAUCUAUUUAGUCUGCCUAAAAACAGAUUAUUACCUUUGCUGCAGCUAACAUAAAGGAGAUUAGUUCUUGUGCUGACUGAUGCAGGAUUCACAAAGACAGGCUUCGGCCGACUUUGUAAACUCGAUCUCAAAUCAAGUAAGACUACCCGCUGAACUUAAGCAUAUCAAUAAGCGGAGGA
rnacentral:misc_RNA from 1 species